rnacentral:tmRNA from 1 species
GGGGGUGUUCCGGAUUCGACUGCAAUGUGGAAAGUCCGGUCGCGCGCCGAGGAUGACGCUUGGCCUCGUAAAAAAUGCUUCAAACCAUUACAUGGCAAAUCCAAUGUAGUACCCUUCGAGCCUCAGCUCGAAGCUCUUGCAGCUUAGUUCUGCAACGUCCACAGUCUAUCGACACCUGCUAGGUAGUCGGGGCGUAAAAAGGCAGGUAAAACCUCGGAGCGUUUGGUUGUCUAUCGGAGGCUAAACGGCUGAAGACAACAUCGGCUUGGAAGGUGUUCCUUCCUUACCCAAGCUUAAAUUAUCAAGUGAACUACGCGCGUAGACGCCGGAUCGGAAAGAUUGCGGGACGCGGGUUCGAUUCCCGCCACCUCCACCA